GCCCGCGUAGCUCAGUGGAUUAGAGCGUCGCGCUUCGGACGCGAAAGUCGGGGGUUCGAAUCCCUCCGCGGGUACCA
rnacentral:tRNA from 1 species